CAAUGCCCUGGUGUGUGGUCCAGCCAGCCCCUCUGCUGUCCCAUCCUGUGGGCUGGACUUCUCACUGCCUCUCUCUGUAGGCCAACGAGGGCAUCCCCAUCUCGGUAGAGGACAGUGUCUUCGUGGGAGGUAAGAGGCGCAGGCUUCUAGGGGUUCAGGAACCCUCUCAGAGCUCAGUGUUGGACAGGGUUGCCCUUCCCUUACAGAUGCAGCAGGGUACUAGGGGAGCACUGCGUGUACUAGGGGAGCACUGUGUGUACUAGGCGUCAGUGACAGCUGUUUUGCCUCCACAGGUACAUCCAAUGUGCCAAAGAUGCAGGUGUGCCCUGCCGCUGUUUCAACUUCUGUGCUACAAUAGAGCAGGCACGCCACAACAACAGGGUGAGCCACUCUCCAGGCCCCAUCCCACCCUAGCCCUCCCCUCAUCUAAGCCUUGCACCCUCUGACUUUUGUGCCAUUUUGCAGUUUCGUGAGAUGACCGACCCUUCGCAUGCACCUGUGUCGGACAUGGUCAUGUUUAGCUACAGGUUCGGGGGUUCUGGGGUUCUGGAGGGGGUGGGGGAGGUGGGGUACAGAGCCUCACACCCCCAUCCCGCAGGAAGCAGUUUGAGCCGCCCACACUGGCUGAAGGCUUCCUGGAGAUCCUUGAGAUUCCAUUCCGGUUACAGGAGCAUCUGGACCCGGCACUGCAGCGACUGUACC
rnacentral:lncRNA from 1 species